GAUGAAGAACGUAGCGAAAUGCGAAAAGUAAUGUGAAUUGCAGAAUUCAGUGAACCAUCGAAUCUUUGAACGCACAUUGCGCCCGCUGGAUCUCCGGCGGGCACGCCUGUCCGAGCGUCAUUUCAACCCUCAGGCCCCCCUUCGCGGGCGGGCCUGGUGUUGGGGCCCGGCCGCUACCCUGCGGCCGUCCCCUAAAUCCAGUGGCGGCCUCGCCGUGAUCCCUUGCGUAGUAAUGCACCUCGCACCGGAGAGCGCCGUGGCCACGCCGUAAAACCCCCAAUUUUCAAUGGUUGACCUCGGAUCAGGUGGGAAUACCCGCUGAACUUAAGCAUAUCAAUAAGCGGAGGA
rnacentral:misc_RNA from 1 species